UCCGGUUUGACACCGGCAGUCCCGCUAGAGUGCCCAGCUUUACCUGAUGGCAACUAACGGCAGGGGUUUCGCUCGUUAAGGGACUUAACCCGACACUUCACAGCACGAGCUGACGACAGCCAUGCAGCACCUGUGCACGUUCCGCCCUUGCGGGUGUUAUUCAACUUUCAUCGAACUAAUCCGUGCAUGUCAAGCCUUGGAUAAGGUUCUUCGCGUUGCUUCGAAUUGAGCCACAUGUUCCACCGCUUGUGUGAGCCCCCGUCAAUUCCUUUGAGUUUUAGUCUUGCGACCGUACUCCCCAGGCGGUACACUUAGCAGUUUUCCUUCGACCCCGAUGGCGUCAGAGCCUCCAGGAUCCAGUGUACAUCGUUUAGGGCGUGGACUAC
rnacentral:misc_RNA from 1 species